UUGAUGCUGGUGUUUCUCUUAACGGAGAGACAUAUUGUGCUCAUCAACUGAAGGGGGGUUCAUUUUUUAUUAUAUUUUCCACCUGUGAACUAUUGUAGAUGUUGGAGAUCACCUCUCAAGCAAGUAAUUGCUUGGUCUGGAGAGUUUGCGGGCUUCAUUAAGUUGAAGUCGGCUCUCUCUGUCGAUCUUCAAUGUCUAUUUUACAUAUACUCAAAUAAAAGUUAUAGAAGGAAUUGAUUGGGCUUUAAUGCCUAUAAAUCAAAUAUACAACUUUCAGCAACGGAUCUCUUGGCUCUCGCAUCGAUGAAGAACGCAGCGAAUUGCGAUAAGUAAUGUGAAUUGCAGAAUUCAGUGAAUCAUCGAAUCUUUGAACGCACCUUGCGCUCUUUGGUAUUCCGAAGAGCAUGCCUGUUUGAGUGUCAUUAAAUUCUCAACUCAUUUCAUUUGUUAAUUCAAGUGAGAUGCAUGUUGGAUGUGGGGGUUGCGGGCAUUCAUUAAGUUGAAGUCGGCUCUCCUGAAAUAUAUUAGCUGGGACCUUUGUUGGACUGCUUUCCAUAGUGUGAUAAUUAUCUACGCUUAGGAGGCUUUGAAGACAUAUUGGUUUUUAAUUAAACCAGAGGUUCUGCUUCUAAUAGUCCAUUGACUUGGACAAUUAUUAUGACAUUUGACCUCAAAUCACGU
rnacentral:rRNA from 1 species